CUUGAGUGUGUAUGGGGCGGGCGGAACGCGUGGUGUAGCGGUGAAAUGCAUAGAUAUCACGCGGAACCCCGAUCGCGAAGGCAGCCCGCCAAUCCACUACUGACACUGAGGCACGAGAGCGUGGGGAUCGAACAGGAUUAGAUACCCUGGUAGUCCACGCCGUAAACGAUGAUCACCAGGGGUUUGCGAUAGAUUGUAAGCCCCCGAGCGAAAGCGUUAAGUGAUCCACCUGGGGAGUACGCCGGCAACGGUGAAACUCAAAGGAAUUGACGGGGGCCCGCACAAGCGGAGGAACAUGUGGUUUAAUUCGAUGAUACGCGAGGAACCUUACCCGGGUUUGAACGUGGGGGGACGACGGCCGAAAGGCCGUUUCCAGCGAUGGCCCCCCGCGAGGUGCUGCAUGGUUGUCGUCAGCUCGUGCCGUGAGGUGUCGGCUUAAGUGCCAUAACGAGCGCAACCCUUUUCCACUGUUGCCAUCAGCUAGGCUGGGGACUCGGUGGAUACUGCCAUCGUAAGAUGCGAGGAAGGAUUGGAUGACGUCAAAUCAGCACGGCCCUUACGUCCGGGGCCACACACGUGUUACAAUGGGGGGUACAGCAGGCCGCUACCCGGCGACGGGACGCCAAUCCUGAAAGCCCCUCUCAGUUCGGACUGGAGUCUGCAACCCGACUCCACGAAGCUGGAUUCGCUAGUAAUCGCGCAUCAGCCAUGGCGCGGUGAAUACGUUCCCGGGCCUUGUACACACCGCCCGUCAAGCCAUGAAAGCCNNNGGNNNNNGAAGUACGUAACCGCAAGGGUCGUCCUAGGGUAAGACCGGUGAUUGGGGCUAAGUGGUAACAAGGUAACCA
rnacentral:rRNA from 1 species